UAACGGGGCGGUCCUCUAUGAGGCCCGUCAUUGUAUUGAGUAAAACUCAAAAUAUUUAACGAAACCAAUUGGAGGGCAAGUCUGGUGCCAGCAGCCGCGGUAAUUCCAGCUCCAAAAGCAUAUAUUAAAGUUGUUGCGGUUAAAAAGCUCGUAGUUGGAUCCAUGACCUCGGAGGGCGGUCCCCCACUGGGUGCGUACUGCUGCUCCGAGUCCUAUCUGUCAGUUUGUCUGUGUUGCCUUUAAUCGGGUGGCACAGGUGACUGACGUGUUUACUUUGAAAAAAUUAGAGUGUUUAAAGCAGGCGUUGAAUGCCUAAAUAGUGGUGCAUGGAAUAAUGGAAUAGGAUCUCGGUUCUAUUUUGUUGGUUCAAGAGCAUGAGAAAAUGAUUAAGAGGGACAGACGGGGGCAUUUGUAUUGCUGCGUUAGAGGUGAAAUUCUUGGAUCGUAGCAAGACAAACUACUGCGAAGGCAUUUGCCAAGAAUGUUUUCAUUAAUCAAGAACGAAAGUUAGAGGUUCGAAGGCGAUCAGAUACCGCCCUAGUUCUAACCGUAAACCAUGUCGACUAGCUAUCUGUCAGCGUUAAUAAUGACCUGACAGGCAGCUUACCGGAAACGAAAGUUUCUCGAUUCCGGGGGUAGUAUGGUUGCAAAGCUGAAACUUAAAGGAAUUGACGGAAGGGCACCACCAGGAGUGGAGCCUGCGGCUUAAUUUGACCCAACACGGGAAAACUCACCCGGCCCGGACACCGUAAGGAUUGACAGAUUAAUAGCUCUUUCUCGAUUUGGUGAUUGGUGGUGCAUGGCCGUUCUUAGUUGGUGGAGCGAUUUGUCUGGUUAAUUCCGAUAACGAACGAGAUUCUAACUUACUAACUAGUUCCACGAUCCUUGUGGUCCUAAAUACUUCUUAGAGGGAAAACCGGCAUUUAGUCGAACGAGAUUGAGCAAUAACAGGUCUGUGAUGCCCUUAGAUGUCCGGGGCUGCACGCGUGCUACACUGAAGGAAUCAGCGUGUUUUUCCCUUGCCUGUAAUGGCUGGGUAACCGACUGAAUCUCCUUCGUGUUAGGGAUAGAUCAUUGAAACUAGUGAUCUUCAACUUGGAAUUCCUGGUACGUUUGAGUCAUAAGCUCAAGCAGAUUACGUCCCUGCCCUUUGUACACACCGCCCGUCGCUACUACCGACUGGCAAUAUCUUUGAGACACUUGGAGCGGCCGUGAGCUACCCUAACCGGUAACUCACGGCUGCGAAAAGGUU
rnacentral:rRNA from 1 species